AGACAGGGCCCUGGGGAAGGAAAGUCUAGAGACUAGCUGGAUGCAGGGUACACACCUGUAAUCCAUCUGGAAGCUGAGGAGGAUGGAGAGAUCCAGGCCAGCCUUAGCAAUUGAGUGAGAUCCUGUCACAGAUGAAAAAUUAAAAAGGGCUGGGGAUGUAGCUCAGUGGUAAACUGCCCCUGGGGUUAAUCCUCAGCACCAAAAAGAACAAAUGGAAACUAGACAUGAUGGGAUGGAGCCACUGAGGGGCCCUGCAGAAUUUUCAACAGGCAGCACCAUGUGGCUUGGGCUCCUCAGCACCUCUGGGAGCUGUCUUGCUCUUUGUGUCAGUCCUGCUUCCACAGCCCUCAGGGCCACAGGUGGGUUCCGCAGGCAGGCCUCCGGGAAAGUCCACCACAGGCUGCAGGGCUCAGGGCCAUUAUGCAGCCAGUAAACUACAGGAGGGAAGGAGAACUCUGAGGCGGGCAGGGAAUCACUCUUGACCUUCUCCUUUGUUCCCUUCCCAGAAGAGGACUCUGUCUAACAUGGAAUCCUUCCUAGAAUUUUAGAAAAGGGUAAACUUAGAAGAUGUUCCUUCUCACAGGAAGACAGUAAGAGAAUCUGCUGUCAUCACUUCUGCCCUGGUGACUUCAAUGCCUGUGACAACAGUGGCUGGGACUGCCUCUUCCCUCCCCCCUCAUUUUGUGGAAGAGCAAUGACAUAGGCACUUGGAGUUUCUGGAACUAGUUUUCUGGACUGCCUCACCUCCCAGCAAGAGCAAGCAUCAAGACGGUGUCCAAAGGGAAACCAGCUGCAUCUCAGUAACAUUCCACUCUUAAGCCUUUAGAAAAAGAAGCAAAAAAGAUAAAUCAGGAACAGCUUUGACAGAGUCAAUGGACAAAACCUGCUGAAACUGGCCCUGCUUUAAGGGAGUUGGGAGAUGAAAGACGGGGGCUAACACAGGAGCCCCCCUGGCCAGCACCCCAUCCCUUCACAACCCCUACUGUCAUUUACAGGAGCCAAAGGGCUUUUGCUAAUAAAAACAUUUAAAAAUAAAACAAAGUAUCAAUUCA